rnacentral:rRNA from 1 species
GAUGAACGCUGGCGGCGUGCUUAACACAUGCCAGUCGAACGAGAAAUGUAGACGGAAACCUUCGGGCGGAAGCCUUCAUUUCGAGUGGCGGACGGGUGAGUAACGCGUGGGUAACCUGCCUCAUACAGGGGGAUAACAGUUGGAAACGACUGUUAAUACCGCAUAAGACCACCGCAUCGCAUGAUGCGGGGGUAAAAACUCCGGUGGUAUGAGAUGGACCCGCGUUCGAUUAGCCAGUUGGCGGGGUAACGGCCCACCAAAGCGACGAUCGAUAGCCGAUCUGAGAGGAUGACCGGCCACAUUGGAACUGAGACACGGCCCAAACUCCUACGGGAGGCAGCAGUGGGGAAUAUUGCACAAUGGGGGAAACCCUGAUGCAGCGACGCCGCGUGAGUGAAGAAGUACUUCGGUAUGUAAAGCUCUAUCAGCAGGGAAGAAAAUGACGGUACCUGAGUAAGAAGCCCCGGCUAACUACGUG